rnacentral:rRNA from 1 species
CACGUAGGGUGCGAGCGUUGUCCGGAAUUAUUGGGCGUAAAGAGCUCGUAGGCGGUGUGUCGCGUCGGCCGUGAAAACCUGCAGCUUAACUGUGGGCUUGCGGUCGAUACGGGCAUCACUGGAGUUCGGCAGGGGAGACUGGAAUUCCUGGUGUAGCGGUGAAAUGCGCAGAUAUCAGGAGGAACACCGGUGGCGAAGGCGGGUCUCUGGACCGGUUCUGACGCUGAGGCGCGAAAGCGUGGGGAGCAAACGGG